CUCUUUUUGGAGUUUUCUGGCAAGUUCAUGACAAGGAUCUUAUAAUACGCCAUUAACAAGAAACAGUGCCCAAGACACUGGCAUAAAUGAGCAAAGGAAGAGAUUGGAAGAAGUGCCUAGAGGAAAUCUGGGGGAUGCAGAAGACCCACGAGCACCAUCCCAACCGGUGCAACCUGUGUAGGAUCCUCAAUGCUCUGGAUGAGAGCAUGCAGAGGAGAUGAUCGAAAGCAGCCACAAUCUUCCUGUUUCCUUCAAAACCUCUACUUGGGACUCUUCCUGAUCAGAAAGGAAUAAGUCCUUCAAACUGAAUUAAACCCUCACAAUGGCUGUCAGUGAGAGAGAGGAAGAGCAAACAUUGACUU